GACGAACGCUGGCUGCGUGCUUAACACAUGCAAGUCGAACGCUGAAGCCUGGUGCUUGCACCGGGUGGAUGAGUGGCGAACGGGUGAGUAACACGUGAGUAACCUGCCCCUGACUUCGGGAUAAGCCCGGGAAACUGGGUCUAAUACCGGAUACGACUGCCGGACGCAUGUCUGGUGGUGGAAAGUUUUUUCGGUUGGGGAUGGGCUCGCGGCCUAUCAGUUUGUUGGUGAGGUAAUGGCUCACCAAGACGACGACGGGUAGCCGGCCUGAGAGGGCGACCGGCCACACUGGGACUGAGACACGGCCCAGACUCCUACGGGAGGCAGCAGUGGGGAAUAUUGCACAAUGGGGGAAACCCUGAUGCAGCGACGCAGCGUGCGGGAUGACGGCCUUCGGGUUGUAAACCGCUUUCAGCAGGG
rnacentral:rRNA from 1 species